rnacentral:rRNA from 1 species
UGGCGAACGGGUGAGUAACACGUGGGUGAUCUGCCCUGCACUUCGGGAUAAGCUUGGGAAACUGGGUCUAAUACCGGAUAGGAGCCAUCUUUAGUGUGGUGGUUGGAAAGUUUUUUCGGUGUAGGAUGAGCUCGCAGCCUAUCAGCUUGUUGGUGGGGUAAUGGCCUACCAAGGCGGCGACGGGUAGCCGGACUGAGAGGGUGUACGGCCACAUUGGGACUGAGAUACGGCCCAG